rnacentral:lncRNA from 1 species
GAUCAACUUAACCUCAUUGAUGAGAAGCGUGUGACCUCUCUGUGCCAUGGAUAAUUGUACCAACAACGGGUCAAGAAAUUGUUUGAUAAGAAGGUCCGUCCUCGAGAUUUCAAGGAAGGGGAUCUCGUGCUCAAGAAGAUAUUGUCGAUACACAAAGAUUCACGUGGAAAAUGGACUCUCAAUUAUGAAGGCUCAUACAUUGUAAAGAGAGCAUACUCUGGAGGUGCUCUGUUUCUCACAACUAUGGAUGGCCAAGAGCUCACUCACCCUGUGAACUCUGAUGCAGUCAAAAGAUACUAUGUCUGACAAAAAAAAACCACUAAGUCGAAAACCCAAAAGGGCGACUUUGGAAAAAGUAAGGAAUGAUAAAUAAAUAAAUAAAUAAAUGGUAGCUCUCUAAGUUGAAAACCCGAAAGGGCGAUCCAGGCAAAAAAGAGCGUCCUGGUGGAUUGAAAACCCGAAAGGGAGAUCCAGGAAAAAAUUAGGGACAAAAGGCAUAGACUGCAUCAGUUUGUCACUAAUCGACACAGAAGAGCCAAAGACGGAAGAUCAAUCUAGCUGCUCCCUUCAGAAGCAAGAUUUUAUGGAGUCACUGUUAUUAGGGAUAUUAGUAGUCAUUGUGAUUCAAUGUAAACCUUUUACCUAUUGCCAUUUUCAAAUUUGUAACAAUCCAUGGAGCUACACCAUUUGUGUGCUACCGUUCUUGAAUAAAUACAAGUUUACCCAUCAAUUGCUAUCAUUUUCUAUUUUUCUCUGAUUUUUCUUUAUUAUGCAAAAUGUCAUUUAUUUAUUGAUAAUGAAUUUUUUAACUAAAAAUGAAUUUUCAACAUAUUGAGAAACACAACUUUUUCUUUGACAUAUGGAAAUUUUGAAGGGAAAUCUUAUGUUUUCCCCCACAAGUCUCAAGUUGCAAGACUUCUCCUGGAUGAUCAACAUAAAUCUCCAUGGAGCAUAAUCCAUCACCCCUGAAAGGAUUAUUAUGCCAGUUGUAAUUGUCCAGCUUGAUAGAUCCUCCUUGAUACAUCUAUCAUCUUCUUUGGUUAAGUUGUUGGUGUUGAGGAUUGAGUACCUCCAUAAAGCCUCUUCAAACUCCCAGUCUGCAUAGUAUCAGCAUUUGCAUAUCGUGAUCAUUCAUAUAUCAUUCAUAGAAGCAAAAUAAAAUCAUGCAUUGCCCAAAGUGUACUUCUUACUCAUUUGCAUAAUAUCGGGUAUCGUUGUUGAUCGUUAUCCCUUAACCUAUAAGUCCACUUGUCACUGACAUCGUUUGUUGAUUCUGAUUGUUCUCAGCAUAUGUCUUUCAAAUCCAAUUGUAACUGGUACCUCUUUAAAAGUAUGGUCGUCACAUCUUUUGUCAAGUCCGGUUAUAACUGGCAUCCUGUUUUCAAAUCCAAUUUUAAUUGGUACCUUUAUGUUUGGUUAUAACCAACAUUUUGUUUGCAAGUCCAAUUGUUAUUGGCAUUACCUUUCAAGUCUGAUUGUAAUUGGCAUUUAGCUUUUAAUAUCCAAUUGUAAUUGGUAUCUUAAGUCCAAUUGUAAUUGGCACUAUAUUAAAAUCCAUUUGUAAAUGGUACCUUAAGUCUGGUUGUCACCAACAUGGUUUGCAAGUCCAAUGUUUAUUAGCACUCUCGAACUCCAGUUGUAAUUGUCACCAAUCUGUUUGAAGCUGGUUGUAACCCAUGUUUACGGUCUAAGUCCAAAUGUUGUUGGCACAUACAGAGAGUUUUUAUACCCUGUUAGCUCUAGUGUUUCCUAGAAAUUCGUCGGUUCGACUCUUUCAUUGAUAGGAAUUUCGAUAAUUUUUGAUCGGAUGAUUUUCUUGUGAGAGAUCUCUAGAUUUGUCAAGAACAUUCUAAAGUAUUGUUAGGUCAUGUAUGAACCUGUUUAUUUUACUCUCUUUGAAUCUUCUAAUGUUGUCCGGUCAUGUUUGAACCUGUUGUUGGAACUUUAUUUAUAUCCCCCAGCAUUAUCAGGUCAUGUAUGAAUCUGUUGCUAAAACUUUCUUUAUUUUCCUUCCAGUAUUAACAAGUCAUGUUUGAACUUGUUGAUGGAAAUUUUUAUUCUAAUGUCUCCAGGUCAUGUAUGAACUUAUUGACUAAACUUCUUUGAUUGUUCAGAUGUUGUUGGGUCAUGUAUGAACCUGUUUGAUCAAACUCUCUAUGUUUUCCAGUAUUAACAAGUCAUGUUUGAACAUAUUGAUGGAAUCCUUUAAAUAUUCCAAAUUUGUCAGGUCAUGUAUGAACCUGUUGCUGAACUUUUUCUCCAAGUGUUAUCAGGUCAUGUAUGAACUUGUGGAUAAAAUUUUCUUUGAAUAUUCCCUGAAGUUGUUAGGUCAUGUAUGAACUUAUUGCUAAACUUCUUUAAAUUUCCCAAGUAUUAUCAGGUCAUGUCUGAACCUGUGGUUGGAAAUUUUAUUUGAAUGCUCCAUUGUUGAGGUAAUGUGUGAAUCUAUUGAUGGGAUUAUUUGGGUUUUCCAGUUGUCGUCAGGUCAUGUUUGAACUUGAUUUUGAACUUCCUUUUGCUUACCAUCAUUGUCAGGUCAUGUAUGAACCUGUUGGUUAAGCUAUCAAAUCCAAUUCUAAGGUGUAGUCAGGUCAUGUCUGAACCUGUUUGUCGAACCUUUUCUUUGAAUAUUUCACUGUAGUCAGGUCAUGUCUGAACCUGUUGCUGAAUUUUUCUUUGAAACCUCCAAAAUUGUCAGGUCAUGUAUGAACCUAAUGAUUAAAUUCUCCUUGAUAUUCCAGUGUUUCUAGGUCAUGUAUGAACCUUUUGUUGGGAAUUUCUUAAAAUAUUCAAGUUAUCAUCAAGUCAUGUGUGAACUUGUUGAUGAAAUAUCUUGUCUUCUAAAGUGUCAUUUGUCAACUUUCACUUUGAGUACUCCCCAGUGUGUGUCUGACUCUCCAGUAGGAUUUUUAUCCCUAACGAGUUGUUUUACCCUUUUGUUUGUUUCCCUGUGGGCCACCAAUAUUCCCCAUAGAUUUGUCUAUCUCGCAUAACAACUUUUGUUAUGAUUCAUCAUAUCCCUAAGUUAUAUAAUAUAUAUAUAUAUAUAUAUAUAUAUAUAUAUAUAUAUAUAUAUAUAAUAUAUAUAUAUAUAUAUAUAUAUAUAUAUAUAUAUAUAUAUAUAUAUAUAUAUAUAUAUAUAUAUAUAUAUAUAAUAUAUAUAUAUAUAUAUAUAUAUAUAUAUAUAUAUAUAUAUAUAUAUAAUAUAUAUAUAUAUAUAUAUAAAGAGAAAAUGAAGAAAAAAGAGAGUCUCACAUCCAAGCAUAUCAUAUCAUGCCAUAUCAUUUGCAUUUUAGGAUCAAAAUCCGGGUCUUCUUGGUAUUUAAUCAUCUCCCACUAUGAUCAUAUGAAGAGUGUCCUCCUUCAUAUUCUCUGGUUGAAAAUACUUAAAUAGGGGCAACUGUCACACUCUGAUUUUGACCCUGAAUCGCCGAUUCAAUACAUUCAUCAUAGUUGUUGCAUCUCUGCAUAGCAUAACAUGCAUUCCAUACCGCAUAAUACCUAGAAUAUCAGUCGAAAUAAUUUUUCGGAUCUACAGGCAAACUGGUUGAAUCAAUUGUCAAUUGUGUGCCAAAAUAGCGGGCAAAUAUUUUUCUAAAUUAAGCUUGCAGACAUCAGUUUUAUUAAUCUACUUUUUGCGUAGUUUAAUUUGGUGCGCUUGAUUUAUUUUUUCGGCUAAUUUUUCAGUCGCUUUUUGAUUCGUCUGAGUGUUUUAACUGCGAGUUUUCCAUUUCAAAAUUUGACAAAAACUUGUAUGUUUCUGAGUCGUUUAUUUCGCGUUGAUCAUCAUGGCGCAAUCAUUUUAUUUUUUUAGGCAUUUUUUAGCUCGAUUUUUAUUCGUUUUUGAUCCGUUUAUUUCUGUUUUUUUAGUAAAAAAAAUGGGACAAUUAUUUAUAAUUAAUUAUGUUUUCUGUUUGAAUUUUGUUUAUGUCAUUUAUUUUUAUUUAAAUUUUGAAGUUGUGCUUAUUAAUUUAAAAUGUUUCUAAAUAAAAAAAUAUAAUAUUAAGAAGUGAAAUUGAAACAAAGAUGGGAAGCUUUGGAUCCCAUUUGUUGUGAUAGAGAAAACUUGGCCAGUUGUGAUUAUUGGGUUUUCCAUUCUCGUUGGCAUCAUAUGAGCACGUCAAUACGACACACAUGUUCCACUCAACGGGAAAUACUUUUUUUCUAAAAACAAAACCAAUGUUCUCUGUUGCCUCUAUCAUGGUGACAAAAAAAAUAAGCUUGGACCUACCCAAACAUGACACAUGGCUACGUAAGAUGAAGUUUUUAUUCCCUUUGCCCACUACAACCAAAAUCGAUGCAGAGACUCUCUGAAAAAAAGAAUACUCUCCUCUCUCAAAAAAAAAAACAAAGACCUCAUAGUCUCUGCAUUCUUACCUUCAUCAUAUAUACUUAUUUUCAUCUUCUUAUAACUAUCGUCACACACUCAUGCCUCCAUAGCAUUUCCACACACUCAACCUUUUUAAAAAAACACCAUUCACCAACAUUGUGCCUCUAUCUCCUCCACAUUUAUCAUCGUCAGUGACAACCACCCAACCUCCAUCAACAACCAUAAAACCACCCAAACUCCAUCUUCUAUCUUCUUCUUUCCGAAAAACUUCAAAACCCACCUUACAACACUCCACUCUCUGCCUUACAACCCAUAAAUCGGAGAUCGCAUACCAACAACCGUCAAACCUCCGUUCCAGAUCCGACAAGCUUCCCUUCCUCUUUUAACUUCAAGCAACCCUCAAUCUCCUCACAUCCAUAACUUCUCAUUCCAUACUGUGAAACUCCAACAAAACCUCCACCCAUCGAACAACAUGACCCUUCGAACCACACGCCACACGCCACCUUUUAGCUCCGCUGACAAUGAUUAUACGACAACACGUACAAUCUUGCACAAAUCAGCGCUCUUUCCUUUUCGCUUCGAACAUCGAAUGUAGCAAGCAACCAUCAUCAUUGUAUUCU